CCUGUACAAUGAAUGAUUUAUUUGAAAUUUUCUAUAUUUUAUAACAAUGGUCUUUUAGUUUAAUGCAGAAAAAGAAGUAUAGCUGAACCCUGAAAAAAAAGUAAUUCAAGAUAUUCAUCCCCUCCAAAAAGAAAAAAGAAAAAAGAAAAGAAAAGAAAACUUUAUAACACGAAUCUCUUAUCAAAACAAACCUGCAUUCCUGGGAUACGAAUCUCGGGGCUGAGCAAGGCUUACAAAGAAAGAAAAAAAUAUCGAUAAUUUGAAUACAACUGUUCAGGCUAGGACUGUAUGAAGUAACUCCAUCUGGCCUCCAUACUACCUACCCCAGGGAAAUUCAACAGACUACAACAUCUAUUUGACAAAAUAUAACUUGAAUUUA